CCAAAAGUCCACACCUCGGCAGCCGCCGAAGUCGACUGUUUUUACGGCAGAAAACAAAGGAAUCGAGAGAAACAAAUAUGGCAAGCCAAAUUCACAAGUAUUCGAUAUGCCUAGUAUAUCAAUCGAAAAACUAGGUUUAACGAUAUUUUGGGAGUUGUCGUAUUGUAUGAACUAAAAAGAGCAAUGCAUGUCAUUAUCAUAUGGAGUAGAUACAAAUGACUAAAGGAGUUAUUUUUAAAUCAAUAUGAAAAAUACAUGUUACUGUGUAAGAAAAUACUGUACUUGAAAAAUUUGUAUUUUCAUAACCUUGUUAUAAUUUUAUUAUAUUCCAUUUAUUUAAAAUUUAACAUUUGUUUUUUGUUAUCCUUGGGCUAUGUCAUUUUUUACUAUUUGUCCACUUUUUACUAUUUGUCCAUUUAUCCUAUUUAUUAAUUUUUAUUUGUGCUAUAUAAAAUUUUGAAUGCAAUAAACAUACACCAGGGGUACAAUCAAUAACAAUUUUUUUAUAAUAAAAGCUUAUUUAUACCAAUAUUAUUUCCAAGUCGGUGUGAUGAAACUCGAUGGACAAAAAAAUUACUAUUUUUGUGUACAAGUUGUUGGCUUUAGCAUAAAGUUCUGCUGGGGAAAUAUACAAUUUUUUUUAAAAAAAGUUUAGCUUCUGCUUGUAUUGUAUUCUGCAAAUCUUGGAACGCUGAUCAAAUUAAUGUAUGGCAUAUAUAAAAACGUUCGUUAGUAGUGCAGAAAUUACGCCCAAAACGUUUUGCACGAAAAUUAAUACACUCGAAAAUAUUUCAAUUUACUAUAUGGUAUCCGCAAUCUUAGAGGAUAUCAAGCUACAACCCUGGACACAAUAUUUGUGGAAAUGGCCGUUUUUUGGCUGUUUCUCAAAAUGGCUAAACAGCAUUACUUCACCAGUACUAUGCAGCUGGUAAGUUGUAAACGUUUUACUUUGACAAGGGUGUGGAGCCAAGUAACGAACGUCGAAAAUGCGCUAGCUGCACUUUUUGCAAUGUCUGUCUUAUGACAUAACUCAUUCCACGUCCAGAAAGGCCCAUAAUAUCGGGAAAUUAGGGCGUGCCGACGGCAGCAAAAAUUAGCACCGUUUAAGAGUUUGACAAGGACUCUUUACAAAUUUAGAGUGCCUGUUAUUUACAUAGAAACGGCUUUCUCAAUUGCUUGUAAUUACGAACUUCGAAAUUUCGUCCUUCUUUCCAAUAAUUUAUGUCUGGGGUUGUAGGAUAUAAUACUUUAAGGAAAGAGACUUUCGCGCAAAAAAAAAUUCGCAGUACCAAAAUCACCGCAAAAUUUCAGGUUUGCGUUUAGGUUUUUUUAGAAUUUUUUUUUGGAAUAAACUUUUGCUUAUAUGAGGGUUUCGUAUAUAUAUUUAGGUUAAAAAAACGAUCGAAAAACAGAAAAUAAUGAUGACAUCGCAAUUUUAGAAUGACGCUAUUACGUAUAUUAUUGACGUGUAUAAGUCAGUGUUUUUUUUUUUACUUUGCCAAAUGUUCAGUUUGAGGACUUUUUUUUCGAGACCAAAUUUGACGGUAAUUUAAUUAGGCAGCUCACUCAGUAUGUAGAGUUUCAGAGGCAAAAAGGAUUAAAAAUUCCAUUUUCUUUUACCCGGAGCUAAACGUAUAUAUACAGUGAUACGUUUUUAUUCCUUCUGAAAAUAUAUUUAAUAUCUCGCAAAUUUCUGACUUCCAUUUUAUGGAAUUUCUAUUCUUUAAAUGCUCUUUCUUCCGAUAUCAUAGAUUUUAAUUGGUGUAAUAUAUGUUCUCAGAAUAGUAUAAGCUACUAAUUCAGUCUAUGCUACCGUAAAUCUUCUAAUAUUCAGUAGAAAAAUAAUUUUCAAAUACAUCGAAAGUUUCCGCUGGAAUAAAUCUUCCAAAAGUGCUCUUCGACUUGGUUUUCGAGAAUUCAGGUAUCUAAGAUGAUUUCUGAGUGGUUUUAAACAAGUUUAGCAAUUACGUGCUUUAGUUAUUAGCUAAAUUAAAGAACUAAUGUUUUUGGAAUAUUCAUUCCGAACGGACUCCUCAAAAUUACGGGAAAAUUUCGAGGGUCUUAAAAGACGGCACCUCCCAAAAUUUUAUUCGGUAAAUCCUAUUUGUUUUGAUUUUAUUCCAAAAAAGCUGAUUUUCAAAAUGUUGAACCUGAACAUUUGGCAAAGUAAAAAAAAAACACUGACAUAAAAAAAAGAGAACAAAAAUUGUCUAGGUAACUUUAACGUUUUUAAAAAUUUAAAUAUUUCGCGGAAAUAAACUUUCGCGCUUUGAUCAACUUUAUAGCGUGUUUUGACGGAAGAAACUUUCGCGGAAAACAAGGCUAAAUUACUGCGAAUGUUUUAUACUGUGAACGUUUCUUCCCUUAAAGUAGUCAUUUGUCUUGUGCUGGAUGGUUGGCUAUAUACCAUCAAACAAGUAGCUUUGUUUUAAAAGAAGUACCCAACAUGUUAUUCGAUCAUGCACCGCUGUUGAAAAACGGGUCUUGAAUAUGUCUAAACUCGUCGCUAGUCAGUAAUAGUUGCUAUUGUUUUGUCAAGACAUUUGGCAGACUAACUUUCCUAUUGGGUUUGUGCUUUUCCCAAUCUUAAGCGUAAUGAAAUUACUACAGUACUACAGUAUAAGUUGUCUGUAAGAAGUCAUUUGUCUUGUGUUGAAUGUCAAGGUUGGCUAUAUACCAUCAGACAAAUCGCUACUUUUUAAAAGAAUAUUUAAAAGAAUUGUUAAUAUAAUCAAGGCUCGCGUGUGAAGUGACUUUAUGCUACCGAACAAAAACACCCAGCCUCGAUGAUGUUUUGAGUCGCUAGUAUUUGAAGUGGCAGAGUUAAUUGCUCUUAUGAUAUUAAAAGCGAUAUCUCUAUAACAUUAACCAACGAAACAUAAACGUAAUAUAAAAACAAAAAGCUAAGAUAGGCAUUAAAAUCACACUGUUUGUUUUUAUCCACAGCCGUAAAAAGUACUUUAAUCAAUUUCUCGUUUUGUUAAAGUUUGCAUUUUCCCUAUACUUUUGCAUGGAUUUCACAGACAGAUUUCAAAACUUACAGUGCAAAAUAUGCUAACUACCUCAAAUUUGUACAUAAAGUUCUGUUCACAUUUUUCAAAUAAAAUGUAUGCUCACUUUAUCGGAGGUAAUAUCAACCUCAAAAAUAUGUUGUGGUUAUUUGUAAAAAAAUCAAAAAACCGAUUUCUAAUUUAGAUAUCAAUGAUGAAGGUCUCAGUUGAACUUAAUGGUGAACCAAAUUCUUACUGGAGUAACGAUUUGUCUAAUGAAUGGAUGGCCGAGCGGUCUACCGCAGGGUUUUUACAUCACAAAACUAAAUGAUGCGUAUCUUACCAAAAACUAACUUUAUAUUUUCAAAACUUAAAGUUCACACUCUUAAAUAAUAAAGACCUACUUGAAAAUGCCCAUACAAGUGGACAGUAACCUGUUUCAGAUGCCACGAAAAAUUUCCAAUUAUCUGGCGUUUCUUCCAAGUGCUGGGCCCUCCUGCAUAAGGUAUUGACAUGGUUACGAAAUAUGAGACCGAUGUAUAAGUUAAGAAGGUUCUAAUAUCAAAAGGGGACUGCUCAAAAAUUUGACUAAGAAGAGACAAUGGCACAUGGUGAUUAGAGAACGCUGGUAGAGGCUGAAGAAGGCUAAAAACACAAUAAAGGAAGAGAAAUCAAACGUGCGUAGUAAUAGUAGAAGACAAAAGGUGUAUUUGUGUUUAUAUUUACUUGUGUUCUGGUAGGACAAAAAGACUUUCAGAUGCGAUUUAAAUUUGAUGAAAAUGUGUUACGUUCGAUUGAAUUAGCAUUAUAAAUAAUUUCGCAAUCGUUGCUCAAUUCAAGAUGACGAUACGAACUCAUUUUAUUCGUUAAAAAAACAUUAAUUUCGUCUUCUCAUCGUUGAAAAGACGAUUCUGUUUGGGUGACCAACCAGAUAAACGUCCUCAAGUGAUUUGGCACAUGUUUUCAAAAUUUUCACUUUGGGAUUUAGGUUGAAUAUAGUGUCGUCAGCAGAUUGUGUUGUAUUUAAAGAAAUAUUCUGAGCAUAGAUCCAUAACGUACAAGUUAAAUAGAAUUGGACCUAAAAUGCUACCUUGAGGAACUCCAAAAUACAUAGGUUGCGAGUUUAAUGUUAUAUCAUAUCUUAAACAAACUGUUUUCUUUCAGAAAGAUAGUCAUGAAUUAUCAAUAAGUUUUUUUUUGUGAAAUUCAUUUGAUAUAAUUUGAGAAGUAAAGAUUCAUAAUGUGCAAUAUCAAAUGCUUUCAAGUAGUCAAUUAAAACAACCAGGGUUACCUUUAUUCAUAGCUUUGCGUUGUUGUCGAGUUUCUCUCACUGUAACCUGGUUGUGUUCCAUUAACUAAAGACUUUUUAUCUAUAUAGUCACAAAGCUGUUCAAUAUGACACGUUCGUAUAACUUUGACGGUAACGCGGAAAUUGGUCUUUUCAAUUUUUGGAACAGAAAAGAUUGUUUUAUCAAUACGUGUGGAUUAUAUGUACAAGUGGUGAUGUGACAAAAUCGCCAACUGGUGUUAGAUAUUUGACUGGAAUGCUAUCCCAGCCGGCACAAAGAGCUCUAAAAGACGUCUUUCAGACAUCUUUCGCAUUUCUAAAAGACGUCUUUUUUAGCGCUGAUUUGUCCGUUUAUAAUGUAUCUUUUUUAAGCGUCUAAAAAGAUGCAUUUCAAAAGACCUCUUUUAGACAUCUCUUAAACGUCUUUCCAAAAAUAUCUAUUAAGAAAUUCUUUUCCGACGCGUCUUUUUAAAGACAUCUUUUAGACCUUUUACAGAUGUAGAAGCGACUAAAAUGCAUCUUUAAUGCAACUUUUUAAAUGCAUCUUUAGAAAGACAUCUUUUAUCUAUCUAUAAGACGUCUUCCUUGGUUUUUAUUGUUUUUAUUGUUUUGUGUUUUUUUAUUUAACUUUUUAGAAAAAAUAAGCAUUUUUAAUAUUUAAGACAUUUACGUUAACGUUGAAACGUACAUUUUUAAUAAAUUGCAGAAAUAACGAUAUCAAAGACGACAAAUAUUUUGCGAUAAAAAUAUUCUGAACUUUUUAUAUCAAACUCGUAUUGACACUUUAAACAAUAAAUAUAUUUUACAAUUACAGUAAGCAAAUAUAAUCGGAAAUAAAUAAAUAAAAUAAUAUUAACAAUAAACACUAUACAAUUAAAUCAUUCAUAUUCAUAUUUACAAAUUGUAAUUAUUAAAAUAUUCUGUGUUACGAAUUCUACCUAUGAACUUAUUCAUGCGUAGAGAUGUACACUAAUUUCUACGUCAGUUUUUAAAUAAAGCAUGCCAUUUAAGCAUAAAUUGGAACUCUAGUCGAAGAAAUCUUAAGCAUAUUGAGCUUAGGCCAUAGGAAAGAAUCACCUUAAAAAUUCUGUGAAAAUUGCUAGUAGUUGAAAUUUGUCGUAACGCUUGCAAGCCCGAAAUAAACAAAAUAAAUAUUUAAUAUGAAAACAAGUAGAACAAUCAUUCUUGAAGUUAGUGAUAAUUUUUAACUUUAUUUUAAUUAUCAGUGUGUCGUAUUUUUAAUGAGUAUUCGUUAUUAUUGAUAUGUAAGUUAUUUAUAAA